CACAAAUCCAUUCAUAACGCUGCUCUCAGAAAAGCAGGAAGGCACAUCAACAGUCUGAAAGGUUUGACUUGCCGAAGGUAACGGGACGGACACUGAGUAAGCUUUGGCGUGGAUUACACCAAGCCUGACAAAUGAACUUGACCCCCACCGAUUGUUUCACCAGCGCUACGAACACUAUAACGCAUUUCGGUUUUCUGCUCGCAAAACAGUUCUUCCGGCUGACCAACAGUUUAGCAAUCUAGCUCUCAAGAAAAUAGGUCAUUGAUGAGCUGCGUUUCUUUAAUAAUUUCGGGCAAAGCUUUUGAGAUGAAGAUUUUCUGUAGUCAUUGAAUCAAAAAGAUGGGGAAUGUGGACAUGGGGCCAGAAAGCAGGCAUAACAACAAGCUUCUGGACUGAUUGGGUCGAGAGGCACUUGUAGUAAAGAC